rnacentral:rRNA from 1 species
CAAUAGCGUAUAUUAAAGUUGUUGCGGUUAAAAAGCUCGUAGUUGGAUUUCUGCCGAGGACGACCGGUCCGCCCUCUGGGUGUGUAUCUGGUUUGGCCUGGGCAUCUUCUUGGAGAACGUAGCUGCACUUGACUGUGUGGUGCGGUGUCCAGGACUUUUACUUUGAGGAAAUUAGAGUGUUUCAAGCAGGCACACGCCUUGAGUACAUUAGCAUGGAAUAAUAAGAUAGGACCUCGGUUCUAUUUUGUUGGUUUCUAGAGCUGAGGUAAUGAUUAAUAGGGAUAGUUGGGGGCAUUCGUAUUUAACUGUCAGAGGUGAAAUUCUUGGACUUGUUAAAGACGGACUACUGCGAAAGCAUUUGCCAAGGAUGUUUUCAUUGA